UGCAAGUCGAGCGGAGACAGUGAGUAGCUUGCUAUGAGCUGUUUUAGCGGCGGACGGGUGAGUAACGCGUGAGCAACCUUUCCCAGACAGGGGAAUAACACACCGAAAGGUGUACUAAUACCGCAUAAGACCACGGGAUCACAUGGUUCUGAGGUAAAAGAUUUAUCGGUUUGGGGUGGGCUCGCGUCCGAUUAGGUAGUUGGUGAGGUAACGGCCCACCAAGCCGACGAUCGGUAGCCGACCUGAGAGGGUGAUCGGCCACAUUGGGACUGAGACACGGCCCAAACUCCUACGGGAGGCAGCAGUGGGGAAUAUUGGGCAAUGGAGGAAACUCUGACCCAGCAACGCCGCGUGGAGGAAGAAGGUUUUCGGAUCGUAAACUCCUGUCCUUGGAGACGAGUAGAAGACGGUAUCCAAGGAGGAAGCCCCGGCUAACUACGUGCCAGCAGCCGCGGUAAUACGUAGGGGGCAAGCGUUGUCCGGAAUAAUUGGGCGUAAAGGGCGCGUAGGCGGCUCGGUAAGUCUGGAGUGAAAGUCCUGCUUUUAAGGUGGGAAUUGCUUUGGAUACUGUCGGGCUUGAGUGCAGGAGAGGUUAGUGGAAUUCCCAGUGUAGCGGUGAAAUGCGUAGAGAUUGGGAGGAACACCAGUGGCGAAGGCGACUAACUGGACUGUAACUGACGCUGAGGCGCGAAAGUGUGGGGAGCAAACAGGAUUAGAUACCCUGGUAGUCCACACUGUAAACGAUGAAUGCUAGGUGUAGGGGGUAUCGACCCCUUCUGUGCCGCAGUCAACACAAUAAGCAUUCCGCCUGGGGAGUACGGCCGCAAGGUUGAA
rnacentral:rRNA from 1 species